CCUACGGGAGGCAGCAGUGAGGAAUAUUGGUCAAUGGACGAGAGUCUGAACCAGCCAAGUAGCGUGAAGGAUGACUGCCCUAUGGGUUGUAAACUUCUUUUAUACGGGAAUAAAGUUAGCCACGUGUGGCUUUUUGUAUGUACCGUAUGAAUAAGGAUCGGCUAACUCCGUGCCAGCAGCCGCGGUAAUACGGAGGAUCCGAGCGUUAUCCGGAUUUAUUGGGUUUAAAGGGAGCGUAGAUGGAUGUUUAAGUCAGUUGUGAAAGUUUGCGGCUCAACCGUAAAAUUGCAGUUGAUACUGGAUAUCUUGAGUGCAGUUGAGGCAGGCGGAAUUCGUGGUGUAGCGGUGAAAUGCUUAGAUAUCACGAAGAACUCCGAUUGCGAAGGCAGCUUACUGGAUUGUAACUGACGCUGAUGCUCGAAAG
rnacentral:rRNA from 1 species